rnacentral:rRNA from 1 species
UCGGGAAUAUUGCGCAAUGGAGGAAACUCUGACGCAGUGACGCCGCGUAUGGGAAGAAGGUUUUCGGAUUGUAAACCAUUUUAGACAGGGAAGAAAAAAGACAGUACCUGUAAAAUAAGCUCCGGCUAACUACGUGCCAGCAGCCGCGGUAAUACGUAGGGAGCAAGCGUUAUCCGGAAUUAUUGGGUGUAAAGGGUGCGUAGACGGGAAAGCAAGUUAGUUGUGAAAUCCCUCGGCUUAACUGAGGAACUGCAACUAAAACUGUUUUUCUUGAGUGCUGGAGAGGAAAGUGGAAUUCCUAGUGUAGCGGUGAAAUGCGUAGAUAUUAGGAGGAACACCAGUGGCGAAGGCGACUUUCUGGACAGUAACUGACGUUGAGGCACGAAAGUGUGGGGAGCAAACA